AUUAGCUCAGCUGGGAGAGCACCUCCCUUACAAGGAGGGGGUCGGCGGUUCGAUCCCGUCAU
rnacentral:tRNA from 35 species